rnacentral:lncRNA from 1 species
CCCAAGUGUGAGUGCCUGCGUACCUACUCCCGGGACAGCUGGCUGCUCCACUGUGCUCCCAGGGAGGAUUUCCAGCACACGGGCCUGCAGUGCUGGAACUGGAACGUCUCAGGCAAAGGAGGCCGAGUCUGUCACCUCCCUACCACACAGACUUCAACUCUCAGUUAGGUUUAUUCAUUCAUCAAUUCAUUCAGCACCAACUAUACUGC